rnacentral:rRNA from 1 species
UGGGGAAUAUUGGACAAUGGGCGAAAGCCUGAUCCAGCCAUGCCGCGUGAGUGAUGAAGGCCCUAGGGUUGUAAAGCUCUUUUGUGCGGGAAGAUAAUGACGGUACCGCAAGAAUAAGCCCCGGCUAACUUCGUGCCAGCAGCCGCGGUAAUACGAAGGGGGCUAGCGUUGCUCGGAAUCACUGGGCGUAAAGGGUGCGUAGGCGGGUUUCUAAGUCAGAGGUGAAAGCCUGGAGCUCAACUCCAGAACUGCCUUUGAUACUGGAAGUCUUAAGUUCGGGAGAGGUGAGUGGAACUGCGAGUGUAGAGGUGAAAUUCGUAGAUAUUCGCAAGAACACCAGUGGCGAAGGCGGCUCACUGGCCCGAUACUGACGCUGAGGCACGAAAGCGUGGGGAGCAAACA